rnacentral:rRNA from 1 species
UCCUCACUCUGGCGGCGUGCUUAACACAUGCCAGUCGAACGGAAAGGCCCUGCUUUUGUGGGGUGCUCGAGUGGCGAACGGGUGAGUAACACGUGAGUAACCUGCCCUUGACUUUGGGAUAACUUCAGGAAACUGGGGCUAAUACCGGAUAGGAGCUCCUGCUGCAUGGUGGGGGUUGGAAAGUUUCGGCGGUUGGGGAUGGACUCGCGGCUUAUCAGCUUGUUGGUGGGGUAGUGGCUUACCAAGGCUUUGACGGGUAGCCGGCCUGAGAGGGUGACCGGCCACAUUGGGACUGAGAUACGGCCCAGACUCCUACGGGAGGCAGCAGUGGGGAAUAUUGCACAAUGGGCGGAAGCCUGAUGCAGCAACGCCGCGUGCGGGAUGACGGCCUUCGGGUUGUAAACCGCUUUCGCCUGUGACGAAGCGUGAGUGACGGUAAUGGGUAAAGAAGCACCGGCUAACUACGUG